rnacentral:rRNA from 1 species
CCUACGGGAGGCAGCAGUGGGGCAUUUGGACAAUGGGCGCAAGCCUGAUCCAGCCAUGCCGCGUGAGUGAAGAAGGCCUUCGGGUUGUAAAGCUCUUUCGGCCGGGAAGAAAUCGCAUUGGUUAAUACCUGGUGUGGAUGACGGUACCGGAAUAAGAAGCACCGGCUAACUACGUGCCAGCAGCCGCGGUAAUACGUAGGGUGCGAGCGUUGUAAUCGGAAUUACUGGGCGUAAAGCGUGCGCAGGCGGUUUUUGUAAGACAGGCGUGAAAUCACCGGGCUCAACCUGGGAACUGCGCUUGUGACUGCAAGGCUAGAGUACGGCAGAGGGGGGUGGAAUUCCACGUGUAGCAGUGAAAUGCGUAGAGAUGUGGAGGAACACCAAUGGCGAAGGCAGCCCCCUGGGUCGAUACUGACGCUCAUGCACGAAAGCGUGGGUAGCAACACAGGAUUAGAUACCCUGGUAGUCCACGCCCUAAACGAUGUCAACUAGGUGUUGGGGGAGGAGACUUCCUUAGUACCGCAGCUAACGCGUGAAGUUGACCGCCUGGGGAGUACGGCCGCAAGGUUAAAACUCAAAGGAAUUGACGGGGACCCGCACAAGCGGUGGAUUAUGUGGAUUAAUUCGAUGCAACGCGAAAAACCUUACCUACCCUUGACAUGUCAGAAAGUUUCCAGAGAUGGAUUCGUGCCCGAAAGGGAAUCUGAACACAGGUGCUGCAUGGCUGUCGUCAGCUCGUGUCGUGAGAUGUUGGGUUAAGUCCCGCAACGAGCGCAACCCUUGUCAUUAAUUGCCAUCAUUCAGUUGGGCACUUUAAUGAGACUGCCGGUGAUAAACCGGAGGAAGGUGGGGAUGACGUCAAGUCCUCAUGGCCCUUAUGGGUAGGGCUUCGCACGUAAUACAAUGGUCGGUACAGAGGGUCGCCAACCCGCGAGGGGGAGCCAAUCUCAGAAAGCCGAUCGUAGUCCGGAUUGUUCUCUGCAACUCGAGAGCAUGAAGUCGGAAUCGCUAGUAAUCGCGGAUCAGCAUGUCGCGGUGAAUACGU